GACGAACGCUGGCGGCGUGCUUAACACAUGCAAGUCGAACGGAAAGGCCCUGCUUUUGUGGGGUUCUCGAGUGGCGAACGGGUGCGUAACACGUGAGUAACCUGCCCUUGACUUUGGGAUAACUUCAGGAAACUGGGGUUAAUACCGGAUAGCAGCUCCUGCUGCAUGGUGGGGGUUGGAAAUUUUCGGCGGUUGGGGAUGGACUCGCGGCUUAGCAGCUUGUUGGUGGGGUAGUGGCGUACCCAGGCUUUGACGGGUAGCCAGCCUGAGAGGGUGACCGGGCCCAGAGGGCUAGGGGUGCGACCAGGGGGGAAUAGGGGGGCAGGGGUGGGAACUUGUGCCAGACGGGCCGAGGGCUGAAAGAGGACCGCCGGGUGGGAGAUGACGGCUUUCGGGUAGUAAAACGCUUUCGCCUGUGACGAGGCGUGAGUGACGGUAAUAAGUAAAGAAGCACCGGCUACUUACGU
rnacentral:rRNA from 1 species